AAAAUCGUAACAAGGUUUCCGUGAGGUGAACCUGCGGAAGGAUCAUUGUCGAUAUCCUAAAAAAAGGACGACCGCGAACCCGUGAGCAAGAACCUCGGCCCCGGCCGAGCCAACGUCGCCCCGUCCAUGCCCCCCCUUGGGGGCGUGGUGCGGGGAUGGCGAAACGAAACCCCGGCGCGACCCGCGCCAAGGAACACCGUGACAGGCGGCUCGCCCCCGCUGCGUCCAGCGGCGGGGCGACCGCGAGACAUUCGAACCGUACGACUCUCGGCAACGGAUAUCUAGGCUCUCGCAUCGAUGAAGAACGUAGCGAAAUGCGAUACUUGGUGUGAAUUGCAGAAUCCCGUGAACCAUCGAGUCUUUGAACGCAAGUUGCGCCCGAGGCCAUCCGGCCGAGGGCACGCCUGCCUGGGCGUCACGCCAUCGCGUCGCUCCGCGCCCCGCCCCUUGCGGCGGAGGUGAGGAUGCGGAGGCUGGCCUCCCGCGCCUCGGCGCACGGUGGGCUGAAGUGCGAGCUGCCGGCCGUGUCGGUCACGACGAGUGGUGGACGGAAGCGAAAGCCGGACGUCGUGGGCCUCGGCCAAGCAUGCGAAGGACCCUUGCAUCGGGGCUGCGCCCCCGAACUGCGACCCCAGAUCAGGCAGGGCCACCCGCUGAGUUGUAAGCAUAUCAAAAGGC
rnacentral:rRNA from 1 species